rnacentral:rRNA from 1 species
UACAGGGGGGGCAAGCGUUGUUCGGAAUUACUGGGCGUAAAGGGCUCGUAGGCGGCCAACUAAGUCCGACGUGAAAUCCCAAAGCUUAACUUUGGAACUGCGUCGGAUACUGGAUGGCUUGAAUUCGGGAGAGGGUAGUGGAAUUCCCGGUGUAGUGGUGAAAUGCGUAGAUAUCGGGAGGAACACCAGUGGCGAAGGCGACUACCUGGCCUGUUCUUGACGCUGAGGCGCGAAAGCUAGGGGAGCAAACGGG